GCAGAAAGUGAUGAAUCAGAGGCUGAAGUGAAGUUACAAAGUUAUACUCCUAUGCAAAGGAAGACUUGGCCUGUGACCAGCCUGAUUGACUGCAGGAGGGGACCAGUCAGAGUGCAGCAUUGAAACAGAGUUACUGUGAAUACAGAAGACUGUCUAUCCCACAGCAGGCAAUGCAAUUAAAGACUUCAGAGAAUGCCAGAUUUUUCAGAAUGCAUCAUAGAAUUUUCAAAGCUGUAAGAAAGAGGUGAGGAUGCUGAGAUGUAGAGAGACUGAUUUGCUCAAGAUAACAAAGAGUUUUAUUGAUUUGGGAACCCAUGGAAGGGGGUCAGCUGUGAGAUAUCACAUGAUCAGACUGACUGCCUGACCAGACUGACUGCCAUCCUGUUAAAGGAAUGAAUCACAGUUCAUCUCGCAGAUUUAUGGCAUGCCUACAGAAAAAGUACCUUAUGAUGCAAACCUGAAAGUUUAAAUAAUCUCCUGAAAGUUCCACAAUCAGGUAAGCAAGCAAAUGUGGUUUAGAGGUCAAAAGAAAAAAUGAAUCAGUUUAAACUCUUUUCUUCUUUAUAUCAAUAAUGAAACAAGAAGGAUUGGGAAAUG
rnacentral:lncRNA from 1 species